UACGGGGGGAGCAAGCGUUGUUCGGAUUUACUGGGCGUAAAGGGCGCGUAGGCGGCCAGCGCAAGUCAGUUGUGAAAUCUCCGGGCUUAACUCGGAACGGUCAACUGAUACUGCGCGGCUAGAGUGCAGAAGGGGCAACUGGAAUUCUCGGUGUAGCGGUGAAAUGCGUAGAUAUCGAGAGGAACACCUGCGGCGAAGGCGGGUUGCUGGGCUGACACUGACGCUGAGGAGCGAAAGCGUGGGGAGCAAACAGG
rnacentral:rRNA from 1 species